rnacentral:rRNA from 1 species
GACGAACGCUGGCGGCGUGCUUAACACAUGCAAGUCGAACGGAAAGGCCCUGCUUUUGUGGGGUGCUCGAGUGGCGAACGUGUGAGUAACACGUGAGUAACCUGCCCUUCACUUUGGGAUAACUUCAGGAAACUGUGGCUAAUACCGGAUAGGAGCUCCUGCUGCAUGGUGGGGGUUGGAAAGUUUCGGCGGUUGGGGAUGGACUCGCGGCUUAUCAGCUUGUUGGUGGGGUAGUGGCUUACCAAGGCUUUGACGGGUAGCCGGCCUGAGAGGGUGACCGGCCACAUUGGGACUGAGAUACGGCCCAGAAUCCUACGGGAGGCAGCAGUGGGGAAUAUUGCACAAUGGGCGGAAGCCUGAUGCAGCAACGCCGCGUGCGGGAUGACGGCCUUCGGGUUGUAAACCGCUUUCGCCUGUGACGAAGCGUGAGUGACGGUAAUGGGUAAAGAAGCACCGGCUAACUACGUG